UACGAAGGGUGCUAGCGUUGUUCGGAAUUACUGGGCGUAAAGCGUGCGCAGGCGGCUUGCCAAGUCAGAUGUGAAAGCCCCGGGCUCAACCCGGGAAUGGCGUUUGAAACUGGCGAACUGGAGUGUGGCAGAGGGGGGUGGAAUUCCGCGUGUAGCAGUGAAAUGCGUAGAGAUGCGGAGGAACACCGAUGGCGAAGGCAGCCCCCUGGGCUAACACUGACGCUCAGGCACGAAAGCGUGGGGAGCAAACAGG
rnacentral:rRNA from 1 species